GCAACAGGAGGACACUAUUUUGCCACUAAGCCAAGCUGCUAGCAAGAAAGAGCCUUGCAGCACAGGGGUUCCUGGGUGGCUCUGUCAGUAAAGCGCCCAGCUUAGGCUCAGGUCAUGAUCUCACAGCUCGUGGGUGGCUCGUGGGUUACAGCUCCGGAUCUGGCUGUGUGCUGCCAGCGUAGAGCCUCUUUGGAUCCUCUCUGUCCCUCCGAGCUCACGCCCUCUCUCAAAAAUUAAAAAAAAAAAAAGUUUAAAAAACGUUUUCAGAACCUUGCAGCACAGCUAGAAUGUAAACUGAUACCAAACAAACCAUUACUUGUCUCCACUGAUGUUUUACAAUGUUGCUUGCUGCGCCGGUUGUCAGUGUGUUAUCUCUAGCUCCGCGUUCACUCUCAUUCCAUGCACUGCAGGAUGGAGCUGGGCCCUCCGAGCGCUCUUCCCCUGCCAGGUGGGCCGUUGCAGAGAUGUGCUGGGGAAGAAACCCCCUGGGAGGCAGUGCGGGAGGAAGGGGCUUUGCUGCCCGGCUCCAGUGAGUUCCCUUGACAGCUGCAGAACGAGAGGCCUCCCUGGAGCCCACCUCCCCGCACCAAGGACGGCUUCUUCUAGCUCCAGGUUCCGCGAGCACCCGACUCCGCGGUGCAGGCUGCCAGCACGCUGCUCCAGCUCCUGCCCUAUAGCCGCAAAGGCGCGCCCCUGAACAGCUUUCCUGGCACUCCGGAGGGACUGCCAGACGUCCUGCCAGCGCUUCUCCGCCAUUUGGUGAGCUGUAGCUAGGCUAUCUCCAAGCAAGUUGGACCUCAGCCCUGGGGGUAAGGAGGUCUCUUCCCCCGGGGGCUUUAUCCCAGCCCUCAGAAUAGCGGCUCCUUCUUACCUCUACUAUUCUCCCAUUCUUCAGAGCUCUCUUUACUUUUACUGGCCUAUCCCUUGGACCCUAUUUGAGACAGAUACCAAAUAAAUAGCUGAUCCCUAGCACUCCCAAAGGCAUAUAGAGCAGAGGUGGGGGAAAUGAUCUUUCAGUCUUCCAUCUGCGUCGUUUGGCACCCACCCCCGCAAACAUGAGCAGUGCAGCCCAGGGCUCCCACCCCAGCACGGAGGUCUGGUCUUCUGGGUCUCCCACUAACGUACCUUUUUCUAUACUCUCAGUGGGUGGUGCAGCCCAUAACACUACUACAGCUUGCAGUAGCCCAUGUUUUAGGAAAAACCACUCUCCUCCUGUGUCUCCUUUACUCUUAACAGCUACUGCUCCUGCAGCGAUUCUGACACCAGCUGUGUGACACCAGAUCCUGACACCCAGCAAUUCUGUGACAUCGGCUGGGUAUCCCACUGUAACUCACUCUGGUACCAUCCACCUGGAGACGGCAUCACAUCCACAGGUGGAGGGCUUCAUCCUGCAAGACCCCCUACACUUCAGACGCCAACCGUGAGUCCAAAGUGGUAUCUGUGCUUCUGACCAAUUGGCUAUGAAUAUGAAUUGGGGUUCCCAUGAUCCUCCCUCAGGUGCAAUUAACUUGUUAGAGCGGCUCACAGAACUCAGAGAAAGAGUUCACAGACUGUUUACCAACUUAUUAUAAAAGGAUAUGACAAAAGCUACAGGUAAGCCUCCAGAUGAAAGAGAUGUCUGGACCAAGGUAUAGGGACGGACACACGGGGGUUCCAUGUCUCUCCAGGUCACCAAUCCACCAGCACCACCAUGUGCUCACCAACCCAGGAGCUCUUUGAACCCAGGGAAAUAAUGAGGACCCACCAAAUGAGAACAAGAAAAGGCUAUUUGUUCAGAGCUUGCGAUAGUGAGGGAGUCACUCCAUCACCUGGCCUGGUAGAGGCCCAGAGGCAGCAAGGGAGGGGGAGAGCUUCAUGGUGGAAAAGGGGGACUCAGGGGUGCCCUGAUGGGGGCUGUGGGCCUGAGGGAGCCAGAGAUGAACUCUAGAGAAGUGGGGCAUCUCCUGUGUUCGAUUUUCUCUGGUUGGUCCUGAGUUGGACCCGGGAACAAAAAUUAGGUAAGAUGUCAGUUAUUGACCGAGUCCUGGCCAUCUGGCUUAUUUGGACCGUCAGAGGGUAUUGUAUGGCUUUCUGGGUUGUCACCAGAGCCAGCAGUCCGAAUUGCCCCAAGUCUGACUUCGAGCAGCCGGCUUCCUGGGCGGGCUUCUGCAGAGGAGGCAUUGGUUUUGGGCGGGCUGCUGCAGGCCGUGGGCCUAUUUUCAUAAAUGGUCUGGCCACUGGCCACUUGUAUAUUCAGUUUCUCAUAAUAGGCACUGAUGAGCCAGUGCAGUGUUAACAGAAAACAUUGCUCCCAAGGUCACAACUCAGCUGUGAAGUGUCCUGACAGCCUCUUCCUUCUUACCGGUAACCUCCAUUGCCUGCUCUGUGGCCCCACCUCAUGAACAAAAAUACCUAAGACCCAGUUACUAAGUGGUCCACACUUCAUGACAGCAACCAUCUGAAGAUGGCCCUCACUUCCCCUCUCCCCUCCUCAGAAUUAUUCAGUGCAACCCCAAACCUUACAAAAUUCCCUCUCCAGUCUCCUCAUGAGACACAAUGGAGAAAUCUCUAGGGUUCUCUCUUUGCAACAGGUUAAUAAACCAGACCUGGUCUAUUAGGUUUAUCCCUAGUGGACUUGACUGUUGGGCAUUUUCACCCAUCUCAAGUAUCUUCUCCUCCACUCAAUCUUUGGAUGCAGUUUUUCCCUCCUCCAGCCCCAGAAUACUUUGUGUGUCCUGGUGCUAGAGUUAAUUAGCUAGGGUUAAUGUUAGGACAUUUCCUCUACUAGACUGUAAGGCCCUUUAGAGACUGUGUGGGAUUCAUCUUUGUGUCCGAGUUCUAAUGAGACAAAUGAUGUGCACCUGGCCAGACAAAGAUGGACACAGUCUCCCCUGGCUAAGCUCUCGAGUGUUCAAGAAAGCCCUGAACAAGUGAAGAUUUAUCUUCAACUGACCCUCUCAAAGACAGUUUUCUAUGGACUCAUGUCUUGGCUAGAUGCCAGCUAAUUGGUGUGGGUUUUGUUUGUUUGAAGUUUAUUUAUUUUGACAAAGAGAAAGAGCGUGUGCACACACACACACACGCACACACAUGCACACAGGGCACUUGAGCAGGGGAGAAGCAGAGAGAGAGAGGGAGAGCGAUAAUCCCAAGCAGGCUCUGCACUGACAGUGCAGGGGGGCUCAAACUCACGAACUGUGAGAUUGUGACCUGAGCUAAAACCGAGAGUCAGAUGCUCAACAGAGAGAGCCACCCAGGUGCCCCCCCUUUUUUUAAGUGAAUCUUUUCACUGUUCCAAAGGCUGACAUCAGUGUUUUCUUUCUUGUCCCUCUCCCCCAUCCAGGAUCUCCCUCACGAGACUAAAGAGCACAUAACUGGGG
rnacentral:lncRNA from 1 species